GAAAUUCGCCUUCAUGAAGCCGGAAUUGCUAGUAAUGGCAGGUCAGCAUACUGCCGUGAAUACGUUCCCGGGCCUUGUACACACCGCCCGUCACACCAUGAGAGUUGGGAAUACCCGAAGCCUGUGAGCUAACGUUAAGAGGCAGCAGUCGAAGGUAGAAUCAAUGAUUGGGGUGAAGUCGUAACAAGGUAGC
rnacentral:rRNA from 1 species